GACGAACGCUGGCGGCGUGCUUAACACAUGCAAGUCGAACGGAAAGGCCCUGCUUUUGUGGGGUGCUCGAGUGGCGAACGGGUGAGUAACACGUGAGUAACCUGCCCUUGACUGUGGGAUAACUUCAGGAAACUGGGGCUAAUACCGGAUAGGAGCUCCUGCUGCAUGGUGGGGGUUGGAAAGUUUCGGCGGUUGGGGAUGGACUCGCGGCUUAUCAGCUUGUUGGUGGGGUAGUGGCUUACCAAGGCUUUGACGGGUAGCCGGCCUGAGAGGGUGACCGGCCACAUUGGGACUGAGGUACGGCCCAGACUCCUACGUGAGGCAGCAGUGGGAAAUAUUGCACAAUGGGCGGAAGCCUGAUGCAGCAACGCCGCGUGCGGGAUGACGGCCUUCGGGUUGUAAACCGCUUUCGCCUGUGACGAAGCGUGAGUGACGGUAAUGGGUAAAGAAGCACCGGCUAACUACGUG
rnacentral:rRNA from 1 species